CCUACGGGUGGCAGCAGUGGGGAAUAUUGGGCAAUGGGCGCAAGCCUGACCCAGCAACGCCGCGUGAGUGAAGAAGGCUUUCGGUUUGUAAACUUCUUUUGUCAGGGACGAAACACGUGACGGUACCUGACGAAUACGCCACGGCUAACUACGUGCCAGCAGCGGCGGUAAUACGUAGGUGGCCAGCGUUAUCCGGAUUUACUGGGUGUAAAGGGCGUGUAGGCGGGGAAGCAAGUCAGAUGUGACAACCACGGGCUCAACCUGGGGACUGCAUUUGAAACUGUUUUGCUGGAGUGCUGGAGAGGCAAUCGGAAUUCCGGGUGUAGCGGUGAAAUGCGUAGAUAUAAGGAGGAACACCAGUGGCGAAGGCGGAUUGCUGGACAGUAACUGACGUUGAGGCGCGAAAGCGUGGGGAGCAAACAGGAUUAGAUACCCUUGUAGUC
rnacentral:rRNA from 1 species